UGUAAUUGUAGCAUAUAGGUCCUUUCCCUUGGUGUGAUAGCCAUGCACUGAACUGCAGCUGUGGCUGGGUAUUUAUUGGCCUAAGCACCUACAAAGACUUAGAAUUUAAAGAUUUAAAGAAGCAUGAGGACAUGAGGUUUCCCCAGACUGCAGAAGACUGUAAGAUGAAGAAGAAGAUGCCGAAGUACAGGUUGAUGACGUCAGAGCCCUUCUUGCCCUCGUUGGCAGCCUGGAUGUUCCCAGAGAUGGUCAGAAUAUUACCCCAGAAGAGUCAUCAUCCCAGCAUUAGAGCAGGUAUCCAAACUGCAGCUUUGCAAAACAGCAUCCCAGUCAACAUCCCAGUCCAGUGGUCUAAAUUCUGUUUCAGGUGCUACUCUGAUUUGGUAACGCACCAACUCUUAACUACAAUUUGUGAAUUAUGGCA